GACGAACGCUGGCGGCGUGCUUAACACAUGCAAGUCGAACGCUGAAGCUUGGUGCUUGCACUGGGUGGAUGAGUGGCGAACGGGUGAGUAAUACGUGAGUAACCUGCCCUUGACUCUGGGAUAAGCCUGGGAAACUGGGUCUAAUACUGGAUACGACAUGUCACCGCAUGGUGGUGUGUGGAAAGGGUUUUACUGGUUUUGGAUGGGCUCACGGCCUAUCAGCUUGUUGGUGGGGCAAUGGCUCACCAAGGCGACGACGGGUAGCCGGCCUGAGAGGGUGACCGGCCACACUGGGACUGAGACACGGCCCAGACUCCUACGGGAGGCAGCAGUGGGGAAUAUUGCACAAUGGGCGGAAGCCUGAUGCAGCGACGCCGCGUGAGGGAUGACGGCCUUCGGGUUGUAAACCUCUUUCAGCACGGAAGAAGCGAAAGUGACGGUACGUGCAGAAGAAGCGCCGGCUAACUACGUG
rnacentral:rRNA from 1 species